CACUCCUACGGGAGGCAGCAGUGGGGAAUUUUGGACAAUGGGCGAAAGCCUGAUCCAGCAAUGCCGCGUGUGUGAAGAAGGCCUUCGGGUUGUAAAGCACUUUUGUCCGGAAAGAAAUCCUUGGCUCUAAUACAGUCGGGGGAUGACGGUACCGGAAGAAUAAGCACCGGCUAACUACGUGCCAGCAGCCGCGGUAAUACGUAGGGUGCGAGCGUUAAUCGGAAUUACUGGGCGUAAAGCGUGCGCAGGCGGUUUGCUAAGACCGAUGUGAAAUCCCCGGGCUCAACCUGGGAACUGCAUUGGUGACUGGCAGGCUAGAGUAUGGCAGAGGGGGGUAGAAUUCCACGUGUAGCAGUGAAAUGCGUAGAGAUGUGGAGGAAUACCGAUGGCGAAGGCAGCCCCCUGGGCCAAUACUGACGCUCAUGCACGAAAGCGUGGGGAGCAAACAGGAUUAGAUACCCUUGUAGUCCCA
rnacentral:rRNA from 1 species